rnacentral:lncRNA from 1 species
CCUGCACCUUGAAUAUGUUCAUGAGUAUAGAAUCAUGUUAUACUCAAACACAUAUUCAUAUUAAUUCUCAAUUAACUAAAGAUGACUUGAUGAUGAAGGAUUAGAAACUUUUUCUAAUCUUCCUCCUGCUUUUGGCCAAAAUUUUUUUUUCGAGUCAUCUAGGAAUGAGAAUACACAGGAUGCGAUCUUCUCCUACUAGGAGUGAUCGAUUUCAUGUUGAUCGCUCAUAAUCUUGAUACAUACUCCACCAUAUCUAGAACACCCGUACCUGUCUUAAUGCCUUGCUUGGG